GGGACAGGGGGGUCUCCGCCGACACCGGCGGGGCCUGUCCUCCAGGUUGCGCGAACGCGUGGCCCAGUGGUUGUCGCUCGGGGGUGAUCGCCG
rnacentral:sRNA from 1 species